AGCAGUCGCGGUAAUUCCAGCUCCAAUAGCGUAUGUUAAAGUUGUUGCAGUUAAAAGCUCGUAGUUGAAUUUCGGGAUCAAUGUUUCGGUCAUGCCGUUGGUAUGUACUGAUAUUAUUGGUUUCUCACCUUCUAAAGAACCGUAAUGCCAUUAAUUUGGUGUCACGGGGAAUUAGGACUGUUACCUUGAAAAAUUAGAGUGUUUAAAGCAGGCUUACGCUUGAAUACAUUAGCAUGGAAUAAUGAAAUAGGACAUCCGAUUCUAUUUUGUUGGUUUCUAGGAUCGAUGUAAUGAUUAAUAGGGAUAGUUGGGGGCAUUAGUAUUCAAUUGUCAGAGGUGAAAUUCUUGGAUUUAUUGAAGACUAACUACUGCGAAAGCAUUUGCCAAGGAUGUUUUCAUUAAUCAAGAACGAAAGUUGGGGGCUCGAAGACGAUCAGAUACCGUCCUAGUCUCAACCAUAAACGAUGCCGACUAGGGAUCGGCGGAUGUUGCUUUUAGGACUCCGCCGGCACCUUAUGGG
rnacentral:rRNA from 1 species